rnacentral:rRNA from 1 species
GACGAACGCUGGCGGCGUGCUUAACACAUGCAAGUCGAACGGAAAGGCCCUGCUUUUGUGGGGUGCUCGAGUGGCGAACGGGUGAGUAACACGUUAGUAACCUGCCCUUGACUUUGGGAUAACUUCAGGCAACUGGGGCUAAUACCGGAUAGGAGCUCCUGCUGCAUGGUGGGGGUUGGAAAGUUUCGGCGGUUGGGGAUGGACUCGCGGCUUAUCAGCUUGUUGGUGGGGUAGUGGCUUACCAAGGCUUUGACGGGUAGCCGGCCUGAGAGGGUGACCGGCCCCAUUGGGACUGAGAUACGGCCCAGACUCGUACGGGAGGCAGCAGUGGGGAAGAGUGCACAAGGGGCGGAAGCCUGAUGCAGCAACGCCGCGUGCGGGAUGACGGCCUUCGGGUUGUAAACCGCUUUCGCCUGCGACGAAGAGUGAGUGACGGUAAUGGGUAAAGAAGCACCGGCUAACUACGUG